rnacentral:rRNA from 1 species
UGGGGAAUAUUGGACAAUGGGCGCAAGCCUGAUCCAGCCAUGCCGCGUGAGUGAUGAAGGCCCUAGGGUUGUAAAGCUCUUUCACCGGUGAAGAUAAUGACGGUAACCGGAGAAGAAGCCCCGGCUAACUUCGUGCCAGCAGCCGCGGUAAUACGAAGGGGGCUAGCGUUGUUCGGAUUUACUGGGCGUAAAGCGCACGUAGGCGGACUUUUAAGUCAGGGGUGAAAUCCCGGGGCUCAACCCCGGAACUGCCUUUGAUACUGGAAGUCUUGAGUAUGGUAGAGGUGAGUGGAAUUCCGAGUGUAGAGGUGAAAUUCGUAGAUAUUCGGAGGAACACCAGUGGCGAAGGCGGCUCACUGGACCAUUACUGGCGCUGAGGUGCGAAAGCGUGGGGAGCAAACAGG